GGCUUUUUGAUAAUAAUUUAAGGUCUAGCCUGCCCAAUGAUGAAGUAUUAAAUGGCCGCGGUAUCUUGACCGUGCAAAGGUAGCAUAAUCAUUAGUUUUUUAAUUGAAAGCUUGUAUGAAAGGUUUAAUGAAAAAAUAGCUGUCUCUAUUUUAAUUUUUUAGAAAUUUAUUUUUAAGUUAAAAAGCUUAAAUGAGUAUUAAAGACGAGAAGACCCUAUAGAGUUUUAUAAUUUUAUGAAAUUAUUAUAUUUUGGGAUUUUUUAAUAAUUUUUUGAGAUUAUUUGGUUGGGGUGAUUGAAAAAUUGAUAAAACUUUUUUAUUAGGAUUUCAUUGAUUUGUGAGUUUUUGAUCUUUAUUAAAGGUUAAUAAAUAAAAUUACCUUAGGGAUAACAGCGUAAUUUUUUUUAGAGUUCUUAUCAAAGAAAAAGAUUGCGACCUCGAUGUUGGAUUAAAAUUAAUUAUUGGUGUAGAAGCUAGUAGGUUAGGUCUGUUCGACCUUUAAAUUUUUACAUGAUCUGAGUUUAAACCGGUGUGAG
rnacentral:rRNA from 1 species